GGGGCCCCAUAGCAAAAUUUUGAUUGAGCCCCCCCAGUGAACCGUUAAAAUCAAAAGGAAGGACAGGUAAUAGGAGAGUUGUCUGCAUAGUCUUCUCCUGUGUAUCUGAUGUCAGCUCUUCUUGGUUGGAAAUGUCAUAGGUGGUACAGGAUCAACAGCAACUUCUGCAAUCCUUAAUGGGGCCCCCUUCUACCCCUAGGCUCUAUGGC